GUCAUUGUAGUAUAGUGGUAAGUAUUCUCGCUUGUCAAGCAGGUGACCUGGGUUCGAUCCCCAACAACAACG
rnacentral:tRNA from 1 species